UGCCGGAGUGGUGUCCACUCGCUCCCCAUUCUCUUUUCUUUGUCUCCCUCUAGUGUCCCAUGUCAGCUGUCGCAUCCGACGACUCGGCUGGCCACGUGGUCGAUCCUGUGCAGCACACACACCGGUACAUUCAGGAGCACAAGCUGAAUGAGCUCUUUGGGCAUCUGCUGCAACUUGUCCUCUACCACCGCCCUGAUGACCCGCGUGCCUUUCUCGCCGAAGAGGUACGCAGGAUUCGCGAGGAAAAAGUCUCCUCGUCGCUCUUCACGGAGCGGGAUCUCGAGACGAUGUUUGAGAUGAUUGAUGUGACGGCGCAGCGGUGGAUCACGGUCGCGCAACUGCGUAAUACGUGCCGAAACCUUGCGACAGCCUCCUCGGCGGGCACCGGGAGCACCGGUGGGGGCGGUCUUACAGCAGAGCAGGAGGCUGCGAUUGCUGGCGCAGGUGACGCAGCAGGACGCGUCACCAUGGAGAACUUCAAGGGGGUGCUUUCCUCGCUCCUUCUGACCAAGAAUAAGUGGUCUUAGAGGCCCACGUGGCGGAAUAGGAGACCGUAUCUGUGAGCUGGUUGCGUCCCUCCUUUCCCGCAGGAUGUAGACUACGUUUUCGGGUGCGCACUGCAGCUACGCUCGUGGGGGUCGCGGAGGGGGGGGGGAGAAGCCGCGUGCCAUAUUUGGGCUUGAAAUCGACGAGUAAGAAGUACUGCCUUACGUUGUUGUGCGGACAAACUGCAGUGAAGCAGAGCUACCUCUUUCUGCCACAUCUGGAAGUGGCCCUCCCAUCUCUGCUGCUGGUGGGUGUGAGGACAACACUGAACAGACGUUGGGCCCACGGCCGCUUCGUCUCAGCACUUUUUUUGCUUGAGCCCCUCCCCCUCCUCUUCCCCCCCCCCCACCACACACACACACACACACACACACCUUCUUUCC
rnacentral:misc_RNA from 1 species